rnacentral:RNase_P_RNA from 1 species
CGAGUAAUACAUGCAAUCGCUGCUAGCUUUAAGCUAGGAUUUAAGCUAGGAGAGGAAAGUCGGAGCUCCAUAGGGCAGGGUGCUGGUUAACGGCCAGUCAAGGCGACUUGAAGGAUAGUGCAACAGAGAUAUACCGCCAGAAGUUUUUUAACUGAGUUCAUUUUAUAUGACUGGUAAGGGUGGAAAGGCGAGGUAAGAGCUCACCAGCAUGGUGGUGACAUCAUGGCUAUGUAAACCCCACCUGGAGCAAGACCGAGUAAUGGCAUUAUGGGAUUGCCCGUCCCGCCAUGUGGUGUGUCGCUUGAGCUUACUGGUAACAGUAAGCCUAGAUAGAUGAUUGCUUAAUACAGAACUCCGCUUACGGAUUAUCUCGCAUC